rnacentral:rRNA from 1 species
UACGGAGGGGGCUAGCGUUGUCCGAAGUUACUGGGCGUAAAGCGCGCGUAGGCGGGUUGGUAAGUCCGCUGUGAAAGCCCGGAGCUCAACUCCGGAGGGUCGGUGGAUACUGCCAGUCUUGAAGGUGCUAGGGGGAGAUGGAAUUACCGGUGUAGCGGUGAAAUGCGUAGAUAUCGGUAGGAACACCUGCGGCGAAGGCGGGUUGCUGGGCCGACACUGACGCUGAAGCGCGAAGCCAGGGGAGCGAACGGG